AGUCCUCCUCGGCGCCCACCGGCUCCGGGCUCUGGGAUUGUAAGGGACCCCUGCAGUCCCCAGAGCUGAGGCCAGCAGGGGCAGAGACUAUGAGCCCAGCAGCCCAUCGACCCAGGCCUCCUUAGGACCAGCCCAGCCAGCAGCCAGGCAAGUGAGCAGCAGCGGAGAGGGGAGCAGGAGAUAAAGGACCGGCGGAUCACUGGGGCUCACCCCCCACAGCUCCCGAGGACCCUAGCCAGGCUGAGGGGUCGUGACGGAUGGCCAGACUCACCGACACACACAGCAUCAAUACACCCAGCUGCAAGACACUGACACACUCAGCUACAACCAGUGACAGCAUCACACAUUGCCACAGCCCUGCAAUACAGACACCCACCCACCCACACACACACAGAAACAACUGGCAACUCUGAAACAGGCACAGACGGUGACACACAGCGUCACCACCCUCCACACACACAAGUGGGGGCACCCUCCUCUAAACACGGACAGACUUGGGGACGCACACGCAUACCCUCACCCGGGCACUGGCUGCUUGGUGGCCUCCCCACCCCCACAGGGACACCCUCGCCUCUCCACAUACUCACGCACACAGCUGCGAGCAAACAGCGCUUGCACACCCCGGGUCCAGCUCCUGCAACCCCGACGCCUUCUGAAGCCUCCUUUGCGGGGGAGGAAGCACUCAGCCAGCCUUGGAUGGAGCCUCGGUGAAGCCAGGAGCUCAGAGGGGAAAGGGUCUGGCCCGGCAGGACACUCACCAACCACCCACCGUGGCUGAGUGAUGUCCCCCGGCCCAGGUUCUGGGGCCCCUUGGACCUACCAUGGAGCAACUGACAACCUUCCCACCACCUGGGGACCCCAGAGCCGUGGAGCCAUGGCCAUUGCCCAGCUGGCAGAGCUGGACUCCGGGCCAAGGGGGCGAACCGGGAGUCGCAGCCCCAAGCAUCGCUGCUACUCCGGCAGCUCGGCAGCUCGGCAAACUGAGGCCUGAGGAGAGUCCCAAGGCGGAGGGAGCCCGGAGCCCUGGUGCCAUGGCGGGCACCGACCCUGAGGGAACAGAGGCUGGUCUGCUUAGCCAGGGGCAGCAAGCAGCGAGCCCUGGACCCGGGCACCUGAAGCUACAGGAUAAGGAGGUGGAGGCUUUCCCUAAGGCCACGCCGAACGUGGGCUUUGGGGACAGGCCCAACGUGGAGCUGCUGAGGGCCCUGGGGGAGCUGCAGCAGCGCUGUGCCAUCCUUAAGGAGGAAAACCAGAUGCUGAGAAAGAGCAGCUUUCCCGAGACGGAGGAGAAAGUGCGGAGGCUGAAGCGGAAGAACGCCGAGCUGGCGGUCAUUGCCAAGCGCCUGGAGGAGAGGGCACGGAAGCUGCACGAAACGAACCUGCGGGUGGUGAGUGCCCCUCUGCCCCACCCGGGAGCCAGCUUGGACUUGUGUCACAAGGCCCUAGCCCGCCAGCGAGCCCGGGACCUCAGCGAGACAGCCAGCGCACUGCUGGCCAAGGACAUGCAGAUUGCUUCCUUGCAGCGGGAGUGCAGGGAGCUGCAGGCCAGGCUCACCCUGGUGGGCAAGGAGGGUCCCCAGUGGCUCCACGUGCGGGACUUCGAUCGGCUGCUGCGCGAGUCGCAGCGGGAGGUGCUGCGGCUGCAGAGGCAGAUCGCCUUGCGCAACCAGCAGGGGCCACCUCCGCCGCCCCGGCCUCCAGGCCCCGCAGUCCCGGUCACCAGAGCAGGGGCACCGGCCCCUGGGGCCCCGGGAGAGGUGCCAGCCCCUGCCCCUGGGCAUUUCCAGGCCGCAUCCCAGCAGGAUGUGGACAACCCAGCGGUGGUCCUAGGGGAGCCAGAGAAACAGCAGAGGGUGCAGCAGCUGGAGUCGGAGCUCAGCAAGAAGCGGAAGAAAUGCGAGAGCCUGGAGCAGGAAGCCCGGAAAAAGCAGAGGCGAUGUGAGGAGCUGGAGCUGCAGUUGAGAGAAGCCCAGAACGAGAAUGCCCGCCUGGCGGAGGAGAACUCGCGGCUGCACGGGAGAGCCACAGAGAAGGAGCAGGUGGAGUGGGAGAAUGCGGAGCUGAGGGGCCAGCUCCUGGGGGUGACGCAGGAGAGGGACUCAGCCCUUCGCAAGAGUCAGGGCCUGCAGAGCAAGCUGGAGAGCCUGGAGCAGGUGCUGAAGCAUAUGCGGGAGGUGGCCCAGCGGCGGCAGCAGCUGGAGGUGGAGCAUGAGCAGGCUCGGCUCAGCCUGCGGGAGAAGCAGGAGGAGGUCCAGAGGCUGCAGCAGGCCCAGGCAGAAGCCAAGAGGGAACAUGAAGGCGCCGUGCAGCUGCUGGAGUCCACCUUGGAUUCCAUGCAGGCCCGGGUUCGAGAGCUCGAGGAGCAGUGCCGGAGCCAAACCGAGCGCUUCAGCCUCCUGGCGCAGGAGCUCCAGGCCUUCCGCCUGCACCCUGGCCCCUUGGAUCUGCUCACAUCCGCUCUGGGCUGUGGUGCCCUCGGAGACCAGCCACCACCCCCCUGCUGCUGCUCUACCCCCCAGCCCUGCCAGGGGUCUGGCCCCAAAGACCUUGACCUCCCGCCAGGCUCUCCAGGGCGCUGCACCCCAAAGUCUUCUGAGCCCGCCCCUGCCACUCUCAUUGGAAUCCCUCGAAGGUCAGCCAAGAAAGCCGAGUCUCUCUCCAACUCCUCUCGCUCCGAAUCUGUCCACAACAGCCCCAAGUCAUGCCCUACGCCCGAGGUGGAUACCGCCAGCGAGGUGGAAGAGCUGGAGGCAGACAGUGUCUCCCUGCUCCCAGCAGCACCGGAGGGUGGCCGGGGAGGAGCCAGGAUCCAGGUCUUCCUGGCACGCUACAGCUACAACCCCUUCGAGGGCCCCAAUGAGAAUCCAGAGGCAGAGCUGCCGCUGACAGCUGGCGAGUACAUCUAUGUCUACGGAAGCAUGGACGAGGAUGGGUUUUUUGAAGGGGAGCUCAUGGAUGGCCGACGGGGCCUGGUCCCUUCCAAUUUUGUCGAGCGCGUGUCCGAUGACGACCUCCUGACCUCCCUGCCUCCGGAGCUGGCCGAUCUGUCCCACAGCUCAGGCCCCGAACUCAGUUUCCUGAGCGGAGCUGGGGGCGGCAGCAGCAGUGGGGGGCAGAGCAGCGGGGGCCGCAGCCAGCCCAGGCCCGAGGAGGAGGAGAAGGAGGCCGCAGCGGAGGAGCUCAGUGGGAGCCCCCAGCCCGAGGGUCUGGGCGAGCCUCCCGCCGUGCCUUAUCCCCGCCGCCUGGAGGUUCUCAAGCAGCUGGCCCACAGCGUGGUGCUGGCCUGGGAGCCGCCGCCGGAGCGAGUGGAACUGCACGGCUUCCGUAUCUGCGUGAACGGGGAGCUACGUCAGGCCCUGGGGCCCGGGGCGCCCCCUAAGGCUGUGCUUGAGAACCUGGACCUGCGGGCCGGGCCCCUGCAUGUUUCUGUGCAGGCGCUGACCAGCAGGGGCGGCUCGGACCCUCUGCGCUGUUGUCUGGCCUUGGGUGCCGGGGCUGGGGUGGUCCCUAGCCAGCUGCGGGUCCAUAGGCUGACAGCCACGUCUGCUGAGAUCACCUGGGUGCCUGGCAACAGCAACUUGGCCCAUGCCAUCUACCUCAAUGGGGAGGAGUGUCCGCCUGCCCGCCCCAGCACCUACUGGACCACCUUCUGCAACCUGCGGCCUGGCACACUCUACCAGGCCCGAGUGGAGGCCCAGCUCCCACCCCGCGGGUCCUGGGAGCCAGGCUGGGAGAAGCCGGAGCUACGAGCUGCCUCCCUGCAGUUCACCACCCUCCCGGCAGGCCCACCUGAUGCCCCCCUGGAUGUGCAGAUCGAGCCAGGGCCCUCCCCUGGAAUCUUGAUCAUCAGCUGGCUUCCGGUCACCAUCGAUGCUGCCGGGACCUCCAAUGGUGUCCGGGUCACGGGCUAUGCCAUCUAUGCCGACGGGCAAAAGAUCAUGGAGGUGGCCUCGCCCACCGCAGGCAGCGUGCUGGUGGAGCUGUCCCAGCUGCAGCUGCUGCAGGUGUGCCACCAGGUCACCGUGCGCACCAUGUCGCCCCACGGCGAAUCGGCUGACUCCAUCCCCGCUCCUGUCGCCUCGGCCCUAUCUCCAGCCUGCCUGCUUGCCAGGGUCUCCUGCCCCUCACCACGACCUAGCCCAGAGGCCAGACCACCUCCUGCUCCGGCCUCCCCAGGGCUUGGAGACCCCAGCUCUCCCCUCCGGUGCCCUGCUCCCCAUGGAACUCAAGAUCCACCAGGGGGGCCUCCAACAAGCCCUGGCAGAGAGACGCCAAGGGGACCCCGAGAGGAACCGCUAGCGCCUUGCUCCCAGGGGGAAGCUGGGGGAGCUGCUCUGGGCACUGCAGAGCGGGGCACCGGCGAGCCAAGCCUGGCUGAGGGAGGCCCUGGCCCUGCGGCUCCCUCCCUGGCCAAGCAGGAAGCUGAGUGGACUGCGAGAGAGGCCUGCCUGGCCCCCUGCUCCAGGCAGGGGGCACUGGUGCAGAGGACGCCCGGUACUGAGGCCUGCUGCGGAGGAGAUGCAGGGUCGGCGCUGAGAACUAGGGCCGAGAGGGAGGACACGGCAGAGCUCGGGGGUCGUCUGGUGAACCCCCUUGUGGAUCACGGCCGCAACUCAGACCUGUCAGAUAUCCAGGAGGAGGAGGAGGAGGAAGAAGAGGAAGAGGAGCUGGGUUCUAGGACCCGUUCCUUCCAGAAGCAGGUUGCUGGCGACAGCACCAGGGAGAGUGGGGCCAAGCCCCAGCCUGACCCCUUUUGUGAGACUGACAGUGAUGAGGAGAUCCUGGAGCAGAUCCUGGAGCUGCCCCUCCAGCAGUUCUGCAGCAAGGAGCUCUUUAGCAUCCCAGAGGAGGAGGAGGAGGAGGAAGAGGAAGACGAGGAGGAGGAGCAGCGGCGGGCAGGCCAUUCUUCCAGAGCCCCUGGGCCGCCUGAACCUGCUCUGCUGGGGCUUGGCUGUGACGGCGGCCAGCCCCAAGGACCCGGCCUGUGUUCCUUGGCUGCAGAGCCCUCCAGGGGCGGGGACCGCCUGGAGGACGUGCCUGGAGUAGUUGGCGGAAGCAGCCGGAGGAGAGGAGGGGGCUCCCCGGAGAAGCCCCCGAGCCGCAGGCGGCCUCCAGACCCCCGUGAACACUGUAGCCGGCUCCUUAGCAGCAGCGGGCCCCAGUGUCCUGGGCGGCCGGGCCCCACGCGGGAGAGGGGCGGCUCCUCAGUUGUUGAGGGCACCAAGGUUGGCCUUGAGGCUGGCGGGAGAGGUCGGCUGGCUCCUUCCCGAAGGUGCCCGCGAGGCCGGGCCCCGGAAUCCGGCCUGGCCAGCUGCCUCUCCCCCAAAUGCUUGGAAAUCAGCAUCGAGUAUGACUCCGACGAUGAGCAGGAGGCGGGCAGUGGGGGCGUCAGCAUCAGCAGCUCCUGCUACCCUGGAGACGGGGAGGCCUGGGCCACUGUACCUGGAGCCAGGCCCAGGGGCCCUGUGAAGGCCAGUCCAGGCCCCAGCCCCUCCUCCCGCCUCCCAGCCUGGGAGAAAGGGGAGCUGGAACGGAGAGGCCGCAGCACGACUGGCAGAGCCAAGGAGCCCCCCUCGCGGGCAACAGAGCCUGGGGAACCCAGAAUGCAGGACAGCUCUGGGAGGAGGGGCUUCCAGCGGAGAGGGGCCCGGGGCCCCCGGCCAGGUGCCACAGAGCUGGCCCCUCUGAGGAGCCCUCCAGAAACACUGGCUUCCCAGGACCUGCCUGUCAGGGUCUUUGUGGCCCUGUUUGAUUAUGACCCCGUGUCGAUGUCACCCAACCCCGACGCUGGAGAAGAGGAGCUCCCGUUCCGGGAGGGCCAGGUCCUGAAGGUGUUUGGGGACAAGGAUGCCGAUGGCUUCUACCGGGGUGAAGGCGGAGGCCGCACGGGCUACAUCCCCUGCAACAUGGUGGCUGAGGUGGCCGUGGACAGUGCCGCGGGGAAGCAGCAGCUGCUCCAGCAGGGCUACCUGGCUGCAGAGACCCUCCCCGAGGCCUCAGGAAACGGUCCCUUUGUGUACUCCACAGCCCGCAUAGCUGGGCCUCCGCCCAAGCCCCGCCGCGCCAAGAAAGCAGAGGCCGACAACCCUGUCCAACCCGGUCCAGGGCCCCCCCAGCCAGUCCCCUCCGCUUGCCUGAAAUCUGCGCACUCCAUGGUGGCUGCGUUUGACUACAACCCCCGGGAGAACUCCCCCAAUAUGGACGUGGAGGCAGAGCUGCCCUUCCGGGCAGGGGACGUCAUCACCGUGUUCGGGGGCAUGGACGACGACGGUUUCUACUAUGGGGAAUUGAACGGACAAAGGGGCCUGGUUCCAUCCAACUUCCUGGAGGGCCCUGGGCCCGAGGCGGGAGGCCCAGACAGAGAGCCUGGGAUGUCCCAGGCCGAGAUUCAGAGAACGAGGAGGAGAAGAGUCCAGUGCUAGAUGGAGAUAGAUAUAUGUAGAGAGAGCGACAUCUGUCAUGGGGAUGUGUGUCAUCUUAGCCUGUGCCGUCCCACAUUGGCCGACCACUCGUGUUCCAGUGCACACGCGGGUUGUGGAGCACCAUGUGACAUCCAAGCUGCGACUCAUCCGUGGACUGGGUCAGCAGCACACCAGGGCCCCUGAGGCUCCCCGGCUGGGCCUGUGUCCCCGGCGCUGACAGUCCUGCUAGCAUCAAUCCGGGGCCGCCCCAGGGCUCCAGUGAGACGGUCCGGGGCCUCCUCUCCAUGGGGAAGCAGCUGCUCAGGAGGCUGGGCUCUGGGAAGAAGGAGUGAAGCCGUGGCCCAUGCCGCAGGCCCCAGAGCCCUCCAGAGGCCCCCCGGGACCCCCAUCGCUGUCACGGCCGGGCCCAGGACGCCCGCUCUUCUGCGUAAACAACGGGGGCGCUUGGUGAGGGUCAGGGCUAGACGGGUCCUUACAGGUGCAUCCUCGGCUGGGCCCCUUCCUCCUGUCACAGGGGAAACUGAGCCUCACAGCGAGUAAGUAGUGUGGCCCCGGCCACUGAGCACCUCGGCCACGCCAGGCCCGGACCCAGACUCCAGACUCCUACACUGGCCGGCUCAUCUGCUCUUGGUUCCCCACCAUACUGUGCAAGUCCCUCCUUGGGCCCCCCCAGCCCGGGCUGGGGAGCUUGAGGGGAGAAAGGGCCCAUUCCCUGUGGUGGCUCUGGCCGUCCCUAUAGUGUCUUCCCUGCCCCAAAGGAACGUGUGCCCCGGAUGCUCCCCAGGCCCCUGCGCGGGCAGGCGGUGAGCCGUGUAUAUAUUGUACAUACUCAGUGCCUCAGUCCAGCUUCCUUCCUCUGCUUCCCCACGCGGCCAAGUCCUUGCCAAAGCGGCCUGCCCCCACCCACAGUGCUCCACCGCCCUGCCCAGGGCCUUCUGGCCCCGAGCCCCAGGGGCCAGUGGGCAGCAAGCAGGAGCUGGGUUUGCCUUAUUUUGCUCAUUGGAUUCAAGUUCUCGUUUGCAUCGUUCUCCUCUGGCCUCUGUCAGAUUCCAGGGCUGGGGGGAAGGACAGAUUUCUGCAGCUAUUUUCAUACAUCCCCUUACAUACACAUAGUGGGGCGGGGCCGCUGCGCCCCCACCCCAGCCCCCAGCCCCUGCCCGUGCCUGGGUGAGCGUCUCUUGCAUGUUUCCUUUGCCAUGGUGGGAGAUCGUCUGACUGGACCCCACCCCCACCUGGGUCUCCAGGAGCGUGGACUGGUGGGGGUGUUUGUUUAAAAAGACAUUUUAUUAUAAUAAAGUCUAUUUUCACAAAAUCUA